AUUGAACGCUGGCGGCAUGCCUAACACAUGCAAGUCGAACGGCAGCACGGUCUGGUUUACCAGAUGGGUGGCGAGUGGCGAACGGGUGAGUAAAGCGUAGGAAUAUACCUUAAAGAGGGGGAUAACCUGGGGGAAACCCAGGCUAAUACCGCGUAAACUCUGCGGAGCAAAGCUGGGGACCGAAAGGCCUGGCGCUUUAAGAAUAGCCUGCGUCCGAUUAGCUAGUUGGUGGGGUAAAGGCUCACCAAGGCGACGAUCGGUAGCUGGUCUGAGAGGACGAACAGCCACACUGGGACUGAGACACGGCCCAGACUCCUACGGGAGGCAGCAGUGGGGAAUAUUGGACAAUGGGGGGAACCCUGAUCCAGCAAUGCCGCGUGUGUGAAGAAGGCCUGAGGGUUGUAAAGCACUUUCAGUGGGGAGGAGGAUUACUAGGUUAAGAGCCAGGUAAUUGGACGUUACCCACAGAAGAAGCACCGGCUAACUCCGUGCCAGCAGCCGCGGUAAAGUAUCGUA
rnacentral:rRNA from 1 species